rnacentral:rRNA from 1 species
CCUACGGGCGGCAGCAGUAGGGAAUAUUGCUUAAUGGGCGAAAGCCUGAAGCAGCAACGCCGCGUGAACGAAGAAGGCCUUCGGGUCGUAAAGUUCUUUUACGUGGGAUGAGGAAGGACAGUACCACGAGAAUAAGUCUCGGCUAACUACGUGCCAGCAGCCGCGGUAAAACGUAGGAGACGAGCGUUAUCCGGAUUUACUGGGCGUAAAGAGCGUGUAGGAGGCUGAGUAAGAUGGAUGUGAAAGCCCCGGGCUUAACUCGGGGAGGUCGUUCGUGACUGCACAGCUAGAGUAAGUUAGAGGUAAACGGAACUCCGGGAGUAGUGGUGAAAUGCGUAGAUAUCCGGAAGAACAUCAGAGGCGAAAGCGGUUUACUGGGACUUAACUGACACUGAGACGCGAAAGCCAGGGUAGCAAACGGGAUUAGAUACCCUAGUAGUC